rnacentral:rRNA from 1 species
AUUGAACGCUGGCGGCAUGCCUAACACAUGCAAGUCGAACGGCAGCAUGGUCUAGCUUGCUAGACUGAUGGCGAGUGGCGAACGGGUGAGUAACGCGUAGGAAUAUACCUUAUAGAGGGGGAUAACCUGGGGAAACUCAGGCUAAUACCGCAUGUUAUCUAAGGAUUAAAGCUGGGGACCUUAGGGCCUGGCGCUAUAAGAAUAGCCUGCGUCCGAUUAGCUAGUUGGUGGGGUAAAGGCCUACCAAGGCGACGAUCGGUAGCUGGUCUGAGAGGAUGAUCAGCCACACUGGGACUGAGACACGGCCCAGACUCCUACGGGAGGCAGCAGUGGGGAAUAUUGGACAAUGGGGGCAACCCUGAUCCAGCAAUGCCGCGUGUGUGAAGAAGGCCUGAGGGUUGUAAAGCACUUUCAGUGGGGAGGAGGAUACGUUGGUUAAGAGCUGAUGUAUUGGACGUUACCCACAGAAGAAGCACCGGCUAACUCCGUCG